GGGGGCGCUGCUGCUGCUGCUGCUGGGGGGCGCCCUGCUGAAGUGCGGUUUCUUCCGGCGCGGAUACCGACAGCGCAUGGAGGGGGGGGGAGGGGAGGAAAAGGACCCGGAUGUGGGGGAGGAAAAGGACCCGGAUGAGGGGGAGGACCCGGAUGAGGGGGAGGACCCGGAUGUCGGGGAGGAAAAAGACCCGGAUGUGAAGGGAGGGGAAGAGGGGGAGGGGCGCCCGAUGAGCGCGGAGCCGCUGCGGGGGGAAUGAAGAGGAUGGGGACCCCCGGACCCCCCCCAAGGACCCUCUGUGAGACCCCCCCACCCCUUAAAUGGACCCCCC
rnacentral:lncRNA from 1 species